rnacentral:rRNA from 1 species
CCUACGGGAGGCUGCAGUGGGGAAUAUUGCACAAUGGGGGAAACCCUGAUGCAGCCAUGCCGCGUGUGUGAAGAAGGCCUUCGGGUUGUAAAGCACUUUCAGCGAGGAGGAAAGGGUGUAAGUUAAUACCUUACAUCUGUGACGUUACUCGCAGAAGAAGCACCGGCUAACUCCGUGCCAGCAGCCGCGGUAAUACGGAGGGUGCGAGCGUUAAUCGGAAUUACUGGGCGUAAAGCGUGCGCAGGCGGUUUGUUAAGCGAGAUGUGAAAGCCCCGGGCUCAACCUGGGAACCGCAUUUCGAACUGGCAAACUAGAGUCUUGUAGAGGGGGGUAGAAUUCCAGGUGUAGCGGUGAAAUGCGUAGAGAUCUGGAGGAAUACCGGUGGCGAAGGCGGCCCCCUGGACAAAGACUGACGCUCAGGCACGAAAGCGUGGGGAGCAAACAGGAUUAGAUACCCAAGUAGUC